ACUUCUGAAACACUGGGAACCUGAGAUCGCAACCCCUAUGUCAGAGCUGACAGAGACUGUGGUCUGUGCCCUGGGGUUGGCUGUGGGCCUUGUGGGCAUCGUGGUGGGCACUGUCUUCAUUAUCCAAGGCCUGCGUUCAGGUGGUACUCCCGGACAUCAAGGACCUUUGUGAGCUGCACUCCAGAAAUGAAGGUGCUGCAUGCCCACCGACCACAGCAGAAGAGUGGACUUGAUAGGUGACCUAGCACUAUUUCCUGGCCCAGUUCACCAUAUUCCUUCUCUCUUCCAAUGCUCCUCGUCUCUCCUCUUCUCUGGAACUUAAUGUCCACCUAUACCCUCUGAGAGCUCACAUACUCUUUGAAAUUCCGCCCCUUGAAUGCCUGAUUUUUUUUUUUCUUUUCUCAAUUGUUACCUGCAAUGAUAUCUCUGGAUGUUCCACCAUGUUACCUGAUCCUUUGUAACCCUGGUCCAAUAUUCCCAUGGAAACAAUAAAUUUCCCUUUACAAGGUCUUUUA